AUGCUACCCGCGAUCACCAAGGCGUGUGACCGCAUCCUCCACUACCUCGGAGGUGGUGGUUUCGGCGGUGCCUCCGGCUCUCGGGCCGUGGUAUCCGAGGCCGAGCGUGUGACGCGACAACAUGCGAGGUACGAUGGGCGCAGUGCCGGUUGCUGCUCCGCGUUCGCCAAGACGGACGUGGCGUCGGAGUGGGUCCGCAACGACCCGGACCUCGCCGCUGCAUGGGCGCUCAACCGCUCCGUCACCACCGUCGAGACGGCCGCUAGGCGCCGCCAUCGCGUUGACGGCGAGCUCCCCAAGAUUGACGAGAAGUGGUCGCUUAGCGACUGCUUCGCCAAUGCCGGCAGGGGCAAUGCCGCCGCCAGCACCUACGGCAGUGGCCAGGGCGGCCCUUCGCACCGCGCAACAGGAGGCGGAGCGGCUCUUCCGCGAGCGUUAGGCAACCGCCAGACAAGGCUGCCACGGACCUCCGGCAUCCUUCGCCGCCGGAGGGACGUCGACGACGACGGUGGUGCGGCAGGACAGGGCGGCCAUGCUUACGAGGUGGUCAUCCGAUAUACUCCAUGGGUUUAA
rnacentral:rRNA from 1 species